rnacentral:rRNA from 1 species
UAGGUAGUUCCAAGCGUGUCGAUUAUGGCGUAAGCGAGCGCAGUGUUUUCUAGUCUGAUGUAAACGCAGUGCUCACCGAUGUGUGCAUGAAACUGGAGACUGAGUGCAGAGAGAGAGUGAUCCAUGUGUAGCGUGAAUGCGUAGAUAUAUGAGGAACACAGUAGGCGAAAGCGGCUCUCUGUCUGUAACUGACACUGAGGCUCGAAAGCGUGGGGAGCAAACAGGAUUAGAUACCCUUGGUAGUCCACCGCCGUAAACGAUGAGUGCUAGCUGUAGGGAGCUAUCAGUUCUCUGUAGCGCAGCUAACGCAUUAAGCACUCCGCCUGGGGAGUACGACCGCAAGGUUGAAACUCAAAGGAAUUGACGGGGGCCCGCACAAGCGGUGGAGCAUGUGGUUUAAUUCGAAGCAACGCGAAGAACCUUACCAGGUCUUGACAUACUCGUGCUAUCCUAAGAGAUAAGGAGUUCCUUCGGGACACGGGAUACAGGUGGUGCAUGGUUGUCGUCAGCUCGUGUCGUGAGAUGUUGGGUUAAGUCCCGCAACGAGCGCAACCCUUAUUACUAGUUGCCAUCAUUAAGUUGGGCACUCUAGUGAGACUGCCGGUGAUAAACCGGAGGAAGGUGGGGAUGACGUCAAAUCAUCAUGCCCCUUAUGACCUGGGCUACACACGUGCUACAAUGGAUGGUACAACGAGUCGCCAACCCGCGAGGGUGCGCUAAUCUCUUAAAACCAUUCUCAGUUCGGAUUGCAGGCUGCAACUCGCCUGCAUGAAGUCGGAAUCGCUAGUAAUCGCGGAUCAGCACGCCGCGGUGAAUACGUUCCCGGGCCUUGUACACACCGCCCGUCACACCACGGAAGUUGGGAGUACCCAAAGUAGGUUGCCUAACCGCAAGGAGGCGCUCCAUAGUAAAACCCAACCG